rnacentral:tRNA from 1 species
GCCGCGGUAGCUCAAGUGGUAAGAGCAUCGCACGCGUAAUGCGAGGACGUGGGUUCGCGCCCCACCUGCGGCC